UUUUUUGUAAUGCGAUUUAAAAUUUUUAAAAACAUGGGCUUCAUGAAAACACCAUUGUUACUAACUUGGGCUUAGAUGGGAAUCUAAUGUGAAUAGUUCAAGUUAUGGGACUUGUCUAAAUAUGUCUAUACUCUAAACCUGGGGGAAGGUGGUGUGGAACAUUGACUUGACUACAGUCGAAUACAUGUUGGGAAUCAUUCCCAAUCAUAAGACAUCGUCGUUUCUGUAGGAUGACUGCAUAUGUUCAGAGUAGCUUUUUGAAUUUGGUUCCCUUAGCUUUAGGGAUGUGAUGUUAUAGUCCAAAAUGUUUACAAGAAAACCUAAGUCUUCAAAAGCACAACUUUUGUUGCUUAGGACUUUGCAUCAACUGUUGUUCCAGACCUCAUUUCAACUUUUUGGUCUCUGAGCUGGUUUUUAGCUAGCAUGCAUGAGAGAGAGCUUUCAUGUAUAAUGUUUCUGCUCUGUAACUGGCAAGUGGUUUACUUUGCAUAAAUGCUGAUGAAAACUUCAUGACUAUGAGACUUUUCUUCUGUGUAUCUAGAAAAAGAGCUUGCUCGUUGGCAAGCAAUUCACAAGGUGGGGACAGACUUGUACUUUAACAUGUAGUCCAUUCAAGCAAACAACUUUGGACUCUACUGAUAGAUGAAAGAGCAAAUGAUGACUAGUUUAGCCUCUGCAUAUCAAGAAUAUAAUGCAGGUCAAGUAUAAUGCUCAAUAUUAGUGACAUGAGUAUCACUAAAUUACAUAGAACCCUGAUGGGGUUUCCUGUGUCGUAAUCCAUUAAAUCGGUGGCCAGUGCUUGCUGCCGUGGUUUAGUAAUUGGGUGUUAGAAAUAAAAACUCGGGUCUAUUUCUUACCAGUCAGUAACAAUUUUUAGAGAAUGUACUUGGUAUAAUAUAUGGACUUCAGGAACUUUAUUGGGGUGGGGGGUUAAUUUUGCCUUACCCUGUUCACUUUCAGAUGAUUAGGCUUUUGCACUUUAGAAUGAGAAACUUGUGACGUUAGUGUGUUCUUACUAGCUUUAAUUUGUAUGUAGCAAUGAAUUGUGAAUCUUAGUGCAGUGGGUUUUUUUAAAAAACUCAGUCAAAAAGCUGGGAAUUAAGUGGUUUCAGUAAUAAUGCUAUACCGAGGUGCUUGCAUUGUAUUUCAUAAUUUUGUUACAAACCAAAAUUAUUUUUAAUGAGAACAGUCUUGGGUUCAGAGGUGUGAUGCCAGAAUGUAUUUUCGUACUGUUAGGCCCUUGGAACAGAUACCGGUGCUUUCUGAAAGAUGAAAGAAAUGCAAUGGGUGCUCUUCAUGCAAGGUUGCAAACCUACCAAGAAUGCAUAAUAGUCUCACUUUUCCCCAAUAAAGAGAUGCGUGUGACUAGUUUUGGACUUUUAACCUUAAUGGGGGUUGCAUGUCUCCUAUUGUUAAUCAUUGUCAGCUGCAGUGACAUGAUCCACAGUCCUGCAUUUACUGCCUUUCACUUAAUGAUUUUGGACAGGUUUUAGAGAGCUAGGAUGUUGGUCUGGGCCUUUAUUUGGUUUUGGUUUUAGCUGAUAAUGUUUUAGUGAUGUCAGCUAGUGCAGUUCUCAAAUGGCUGCCUAUUAGGGAAAGAAUUCAGAGGAUUUGACUGCUCCUAAUCAUCUGUCAUUGCUGCUAGAUAAUGAUUGGCGAUUUUUAAGACUCAACUGGAAAUCUCAACAGUUGCUGGUAAACCAUUAACCAUCAAAAUGUUGCUUUUGAACACCAGUGCUGAAAAAAAUACAUUGCUUUUUUUUUUUUUGAGAGUGAAAAGGGCUUGGACGUAGGAUAGGACAAUGUGGAGAAUGGGGGGAAGAAUGCAAAACGAUAUAGUAUCCCUUAUGGAUGGUACAUGUGCAACAGGGAACUCUUACUUCAUAUACCCUUUGCAGUAAUCAUUCAGGGAGGAAGAAAAACCUGGAACUUGAAUGAAGGCUGAUCUUUGUUUUGUGCACUGUGGCCCUGCCAGGCAUAUAGUGAAGGUGAAUGUCUUCUCCCUCAGAAAAAAAUUGGUUCCUUGCUGUCCCAGUAAGGCAUAGCUUUUCCAGCCCUAACUUUAAAACUCAGUGAGGACUUAGAUGGGAAAGAAUGAGGUAAAUACAAAGGAUUGCAGGACAACAACUGCAGCGUUGUGUACUGUGGGAAGGGGAGUUGGGCACUGUUGGAGGACUCCUGCUGAAGGUGGUCAGCCCGCCUGACAAUGGAAGACAUACUUGAAUGGGGAGCAGGGUAUGUGCUUUCAUAUGAAAAAAGAGCUGAUGUUAAAACUCAUUUGGUGAGGUCAACGUUGUCACAUACCUUCACAUAAGGGAUAGUAUAUUUUGGGUUGCAGUCAAACUUGUGCUCAGACCGGUGAAAAUAAGAGUUAGGCUUUUACAUUUUAAAGAAAAUACAGUUUUCAUUCUAAUUCAGGUGUUUACUUAUUUUAUGUAAGAUUAAUUUUAGAUCUCCCCCCCACCAUGAAGUUUCUUCCUAUUUUUUUUAUGCUGUAACUUACCCCCAAUCUUUAUCUCUGGAUUUUUACUCUUUAAAUUUUGAAGUUGACUAGCAUUUUCAAACCUUUAUUUUAUACCCUUGUCUUUUAUAUUAACUUUUUCUUAUUAUUCUUUAGGUAAGAAUGAUUGAUGUUGGCUGAUGUUGGAGUGCUCGUUCACAUGAAGUGGAUAGAUACUUCUCAAGACAUCACACAGCGUGAGUCAAUCAAGGAGGGAAGCCACAAGCAGACUGACAAUGUUUCUAGCAGGAUCAGGUGAGCUGUGUCCAGAAAACCAACGAGAAGGAGUGGAAGGAGGAAUGAACGUUUCGUUCUCGUUAAUAAAGGCAUUAUCCUAAUUAUC
rnacentral:sRNA from 1 species